rnacentral:rRNA from 1 species
UGGGGGAUAUUGCACAAUGGGCGAAAGCCUGAUGCAGCGACGCCGCGUGGGGGAUGAAGGCUUUCGGGUUGUAAACCUCUUUCGCUAUCGAACAAGGCCCGCUUAGGGUGGGUUGAGGGUAGGUGGAGAAGAAGCGCCGGCUAACUACGUGCCAGCAGCCGCGGUAAUACGUAGGGCGCGAGCGUUGACCGGAAUUAUUGGGCGUAAAGGGCUUGUAGGCGGCUUGUUGCGCCUGCUGUGAAAACGCGGGGCUUAACUUCGCGCGUGCAGUGGGUACGGGCAGGCUUGAGUGUGGUAGGGGUGACUGGAAUUCCAGGUGUAGCGGUGGAAUGCGCAGAUAUCUGGAGGAACACCGAUGGCGAAGGCAGGUCACUGGGCCAUUACUGACGCUGAGGAGCGAAAGCAUGGGUAGCGAACAGG